CCUACGGGAGGCAGCAGUGGGGAAUAUUGCACAAUGGGGGAAACCCUGAUGCAGCGACGCCGCGUGAGUGAAGACGUACUUCGUUAUGUAAAGCUCUAUCUGUAGGGAAAAAAAUGACGGUACCUGAGUAAGAAGCCCCGGCGAAAUACGUUCCAGCAGCCGCGGUAAUACGGAGGAGGCAAGCGUUAUCCGGAUUUACUGGGGGUAAAGGGAGAGUAGACGGUAGUGCAGGUCUGUAGUGAAAGGCGGCGGCUCAACCCCCGGAUUGCGCUGGAGACUGUACGGCUGGAGUGCAGGAGAGGUAAGGGGAAUUCGUGGUGUAGCGGUGAAAUGCGUAGAUAUCAGGAGGAACACCAGUGGCGAAGGCAGCUUACUGGACUGUAACUGACGUUGAGGCUCGAAAGCGUGGGGAGCAAACAGGAUUAGAUACCCUAGUAGUC
rnacentral:rRNA from 1 species